GGCUCAGGAUGAACGCUGGCGGCGUGCUUAACACAUGCAAGUCGAACGAUGAUCUCCAGCUUGCUGGGGGGAUUAGUGGCGAACGGGUGAGUAACACGUGAGUAACCUGCCCUUGACUCUGGGAUAAGCCUGGGAAACUGGGUCUAAUACCGGAUACGACCAUCUGGCGCAUGUCAUGGUGGUGGAAAGCUUUUGUGGUUUUGGAUGGACUCGCGGCCUAUCAGCUUGUUGGUGGGGUAAUGGCCUACCAAGGCGACGACGGGUAGCCGGCCUGAGAGGGUGACCGGCCACACUGGGACUGAGACACGGCCCAGACUCCUACGGGAGGCAGCAGUGGGGAAUAUUGCACAAUGGGCGGAAGCCUGAUGCAGCGACGCCGCGUGAGGGAUGACGGCCUUCGGGUUGUAAACCUCUUUCAGUAGGGAAGAAGCGUAAGUGACGGUACCUGCAGAAGAAGCGCCGGCUAACUACGUGCCAGCAGCCGCGGUAAUACGUAGGGCGCAAGCGUUAUCCGGAAUUAUUGGGCGUAAAGAGCUCGUAGGCGGUUUGUCGCGUCUGCUGUGAAAGACCGGGGCUCAACUCCGGUUCUGCAGUGGGUACGGGCAGACUAGAGUGAUGUAGGGGAGACUG
rnacentral:rRNA from 2 species